rnacentral:tRNA from 1 species
GCCGCGUUCGUCUAGUGGUCUAGGACACCGCCCUCUCACGGCGGAGAUCAGGGGUUCAACUCCCCUACGCGGUACCA